rnacentral:lncRNA from 1 species
AGAGCAUCCCGCGUCGCGUCCUCCCCACCCCGGCUCCGGCCCGCCCGCCGGAGCCCGGCCCGCGCCGCUGGCAGCCAUCAAGUGGCUCGUUAAGGAAAUGCAGGUGAGUGCGCGCGGCGGACGGCGGCUGCUGGAGACGUGGGGUGUGUGCCUGUGUGUGCGGGCGGGAGGCCGUGCGGGAGCGGCCGGGGAUGCUCGCCGCCUCUGCUCCCCGCCCCGCCGCGCCCGCAGCCGGCGGCCCGAGCGCGUGCGGCCGCGCCUAGCACUGACAGCCGCUCGCCUCCUCGCCGUCUCGCCGGCCUCUCCCUCCUCGCUCCCCUCCCAGCCCGAGCCCUCCCGCUGCUCCUCCUCCUCUUGCUCAGCCUCCUCCCCUCGCGCCGCGCUGACAGGCAGCCUCGGCGGGGAGAGUGCAGUUUAUUCUUGGCCUGUGUGGAAUAGAAAGACAAUUCUUUCUCUGACUGGUAGGAAAGAAAAGAGAAGACUCCUCAGGGUUUCCAAGGAGGACCGGAGCGGCUGCUUUAUAACACUUCUCCUGAAGCAGACUAAGAGAAACAAGAAUAACAGUGGAACUGAGGAACUAGAUAAAAGGUGGAAGGUAAAGCAUGGAUUUCCUGACCCAAGAGCCUCAAUUUGUUGCUGCCCUGCAAUCAAGAUGAACACAUAGAUCGUGAGACAUUUUUGUGAGAGACAAAAAACCUACUUGCUUUAGCCAUUCCUCUCUUUCUGAGGUUUGCUUGGCAAUUCAAUCAUUGAGUGUCUACGACCAGUGAAAGCACCUCCUCCUCUACUGAGACACCGUGAAUGUUAAAGAACCUCAGUCCCCGUUGCCAGUCAAUAAGCAGGGAAGAAAUGGGUUGUCUUAAAAUUUGGGAGACUCUUUUAUAGAGAGAGUAGUGAAAGAGAAUUGAGUUGAAGAACAAGGGUCAUGGACCAGGAGGGCAGCUAGCGGAAACUAACCCAGAGUAACCAGGAAUGAAGAGACUGGGUGUAAGGCAUUUCUGGUGUGAAAACAAAAUAAGAAAGUUUUGGAUUGCAUCCUCCAAAAUCUCCCCAUAGAUUUCCCUAAAAUAAGUUUUCAGUGAUGUACCUCCUUGUACUUAUGUAGUUUGAAAUUUUUCCCAUAAGAUGAAACAGUGACAAUGAAUAUCAUUUCUAACACUUAUAAACUGCUUAUUUAAAAACUAUUAUACCUCUAUUUAAAUGUAUCCAAUAAUAUGGUCACAGUUUAUCCAUAUGAUACAAUCAUCUUCAAAAUAGGUGAACAAGCUAUAAUUGUCAGAAAUUGUACAUUUUCUCAUUUAAUUUGUGUUUCUUUUUAUUUCCCAAUAGAAUUUUAUCAGAAUGAAAUAAAAUAUCUUAUUCUUGAAAAUCUUAGUCAUUGUUGAACUAUGGACAGUAGUGUCCCUUUAUUUUGGCCUCAGGUCUUUGCAUCAUAGAACAACGUUUUCCAAAAGAACAUUCUGUGACGAGGGGAAUUUUCUAAUCUGUGCUGUCUAAUACAGUAGCCACUAGCCCCACAUGUGUCUAGUGAGCACUUGAAAUGUGGGCAGUGGGACUGAGGAACUGAAUUUUUAAUCUUAUUUAAUUGCUGCCUCUACCUUUCUGUGACAUGUGGGGGCAUAUUUUUAUCCGUAAUUUUCUGUUAUGAUUUCUAGAAUGGAGUUUGUUUCCUCAAGAAUCUGCAGUGAGAUAAUAAACGGACUGCCUAAAGCAAGAAGUAAAGAACAUCACACUAGAACUAUGUGAUUAAGAAGCUAUAAAUCAAUUAUAGACUUGCUGGUUUUGACCUGAAAUCCUCUAUGUUAUUG